GUGUUUGCCUGAGCAGUACAUACCCUGAAAGGGGAACAAUACAGAGACUAGCAUGGGCCCUGUGAAAGCAUGACACACAAAUCAGUGAAGCGGUCCAGAGUUUU
rnacentral:snRNA from 1 species